rnacentral:rRNA from 1 species
UACGUAGGUGGCAAGCGUUAUCCGGAUUUACUGGGUGUAAAGGGCGUGUAGGUGGGACUGCAAGUCAGAUGUGAAACCCAUGGGCUCAACCCAUGGCCUGCAUUUGAAACUGUAGUUCUUGAGUGAUGGAGAGGCAGGCGGAAUUCCGUGUGUAGCGGUGAAAUGCGUAGAUAUACGGAGGAACACCAGUGGCGAAGGCGGCCUGCUGGACAUUAACUGACGCUGAGGCGCGAAAGCGUGGGGAGCAAACAGG